AAUAAGCAAAAAGCUUAAAGAGAAAAGAGCACUAAAAAGGCAACGAAAGAAGUAACAGAGAGCCAGGUUGUCUUCCCAUCUCGAUCCGCCCCCUUGGAUGAAGUCCAAGCACCAGAUCCCCGAGAAAUCAACUUCAUAAAUCAUAUAUCCUUCAUUUUAGCUACUACGAGCUCUUCAGCAAAGUGAUUAUCAAAUAAAUCACCGAUGGACAUUGUUUGUGCCAUCUCACGAGGACCUCGGCGAACUUCAAAAAUUCUGGUAGAAUAUCAAUGGAGAUCACCACCCAAUAUGAUCUUGGGUUCCAUCUACAGUAGGCCCAUAUCGAAUUUAACUCAAAUGUUUGCUAGCCCAAAAAAGGAAGGUGUAAAUUGUUCUAGCUUUUGAAGAUAUGAUAUCUUUGAUGGAAGUAAAUAUGAUAUCUCAACAAAUCGAAUACACCAUUCAAGUCCUGGUUUGGUACCACUUUGGAGCCCUCUCUGCUCUCACCAGAUUCAGAUUAUGCUGGUUGUGUGGAUACACAAAAAUCGACAUUUGGGUAUUUGUUCCAAUUAUCUGGAGAAGCAAUCUCAUGGAAGAGUGCGAAGCAGUCAAUUAUAGUUGCAUCCACUGUUGAAGCUGAGUUUGUGGCAUGCUUUGAGGCCACAAUUCAGGCUAAUUGGCUGCGGAACUUUAUUUCAGGGCUUGGACUAGUCGACAAUAUUUCCAAGCCGCUGAAAUUUCAUUGUGAUAAUACCGCAUCAGUCGUAUUCUAAGGGUGCCAAACAUAUGGAAUUGAAAUACUUUUCAGUUAAGGAAGAAGUCUAGAAACAUAAAGUGACGAUUGAACAUAUUAGCACCAAACUUGUGAUUGCUGAUCCUUUGACGAAAGGAUUACCGCCCAAAACAUUCGUUGAACAUGUUGAAAGAAUGAGUCUUAUUAAUAGCAAUGAAUGACUUUAUGUAAAGAUUAUAUUAUGUUUAUGCAAUUAACACUUUGCUCAACUAUAUAUAUGUUUCUGUUAUUACCUGUUUUCUCUUGUAUACGUUAUGUUCAGAAUGAUGAGGAUAGGUUUUAUUUUAGAUAAAGAUAUUCUAAGCAUUAUGGUGGACCCUUUAUGUAUUGAAAUGUUGUGUUAGGCAAUAGACUAAUAUUAUAGUUCAUGAAAGUGACUAUGCUAAAUAAAGUGGUGUACAACCGCCAUGACUCAUAUUUGUUGAUUUAAUUAAUAACAACAAAUAAUGUUGAAUUUAGUAUAUGUGCACAUUGUAAUUGAAAUUGUUUAUUAAAUCAUUAAGUAAAUGAUGUUACGUGUUUCAAGUGGGAGAAUGUUAGUUUUGUGACCCACUCACAUUCAUAUUAUUUUUGUUUAAUAUUUAGUUACUAACUAAAUUCUAAUUCUAAUUGGAUAAGUGGAGAAGUGGGGAAGUGGAGAAGUUACUUCAACUACCUAUUAAGUCUUUCACUUUACCCAUUACCUCUUCCAGUUAUCCAUUAUAUCUACUACUCACCAUGAUGGAAAGGUGAGAAUGAUGUUAAAACACACUCUAUUUAACGGGUCCUCUCUCUGCCAUAAAUAUAUAAGUCUUAUCCAUCAAAUCUAUACAUCAAGUAUAUGACAAGAGAGAGAAACUUCUAAAAAACCAAAAAAAAAAAUACUCCGUUCUAUCAA